GCAGACUCACUCUGUUCGGGGUCGCCUCCUCAGGCUCUGAACUUUUUCAGUCUGCUACAGAGAUGCUGCAGAAGAGCUUUAUACUGACCCUGCCCCCUAUAGGCAGAGUUACAGAGUGUUCUGCUACACCUGU